UCCACGGGCAUGCCCCAGUACGGCGAGUGAAGCGGCAAGAGCUCAAAUUUGAAAUCUGGCCUCCCCUGGGGGCCCGAGUUGUAAUUUGCAGAGGAUGCUUCGGGUGCGGCCGCCGUCUAAGUUCCUUGGAACAGGACGUCAGAGAGGGUGAGAAUCCCGUCUUGGGCGGGCGGUCCGCGCCCGUGUGAAGCUCCUUCGACGAGUCGAGUUGUUUGGGAAUGCAGCUCUAAGCGGGUGGUAAAUUUCAUCUAAAGCUAAAUAUUGGCCGGAGACCGAUAGCGCACAAGUAGAGUGAUCGAAAGGUUAAAAGCACCUUGAAAAGGGAGUUAAACAGCACGUGAAAUUGUUGAAAGGGAAGCGCUUGCGGCCAGACUCGGGGGCGGGGUUCAGCGGGUGCUCGUCGCCCGUGUAUUCCUCGUUUCCCGGGCCAGCAUCAGUUUCGACGGCCGGUCAAAGGCCCCCGGAAUGUGUCGUCUCUCGGGACGUCUUAUAGCCGGGGGUGCAAUGCGGCCCGUCGGGACUGAGGAACGCGCUCCGGCUCGGAUGCUGGCGUAAUGGCCGUAAGCGGCCCAUCUUGAAAACCGGGACCAAAA
rnacentral:rRNA from 1 species